rnacentral:misc_RNA from 1 species
GAUGAAGAACGCAGCGAAAUGCGAUAAGUAAUGUGGAUUGCAGAAUUCAGUGAAUCAUCGAAUCUUUGAACGCACAUUGCGCCCGCUAGUAUUCUGGCGGGCAUGCCUGUCCGAGCGUCAUUUCAACCCUCAAGCCCCCGGGCUUGGUGUUGGGGAUCGGCGAGCCUCCGCGCCCGCCGUCCCCUAAAUCUAGUGGCGGUCUCGCUGUAGCUUCCUCUGCGUAGUAGCACACCUCGCACUGGGAAACAGCGCGGCCACGCCGUUAAACCCCCAACUUCUGAACGUUUGACCUCGGAUCAGGUAGGAAUACUCGCUGAACUUAAGCAUAUCAAUAAGCGGAGGA